rnacentral:rRNA from 1 species
AUUGAACGCUGGCGGAAUGCUUUACACAUGCAAGUCGAGCGGCAGCGCGGGGGCAACCCUGGCGGCGAGCGGCGAACGGGUGAGUAAUAUAUCGGAACGUACCCCGUCGUGGGGGAUAACACAGCGAAAGCUGUGCUAAUACCGCAUACGACCUGAGGGUGAAAGCGGGGGAUCGCAAGACCUCGCGCGAUGGGAGCGGCCGAUAUCGGAUUAGCUUGUUGGUGAGGUAAAGGCUCACCAAGGCGACGAUCCGUAGCUGGUCUGAGAGGACGACCAGCCACACUGGAACUGAGACACGGUCCAGACUCCUACGGGAGGCAGCAGUGGGGAAUUUUGGGACAAUGGGGGGCAACCCUGAUCCAGCCAUUCCGCGUGAGUGAAGAAGGCCUUCGGUUGUAAGCUCUUUCUAGCAGGAACGAAACGGU